GCCCAGCCCUAAACUUUGAUGACACAUUACACCCGUCAUCCGCCAGGGAACUACGAGCAUUAGCUUAAAACCCAAAGGACUUGGCGGUGCUUUAGACCCACCUAGAGGAGCCUGUUCUAGAACCGAUAAUCCCCGUUAAACCUCACCCUCUCUUGUCAUCCCCGCCUAUAUACCGCCGUCGUCAGCUUACCCUGUGAAGGCACCACAGUAAGCAAAACUAGUAAAACCCAAAACGCCAGGUCGAGGUGUAGCAUAUGAGAGGGAAAGAAAUGGGCUACAUUCCCUACUUUAGGGAACACGGAUAAUAUAAUGAAAAGUAUAUUAGAAGGAGGAUUUAGCAGUAAGCAAAAAAUAGAGCGUUUUGCUGAAACUGGCCCUGAAGCGCGC
rnacentral:rRNA from 1 species